CAGCAGCCACGGUAAUACGUAGGGUGCAAGCGUUAAUCGGAAUUACUGGGCGUAAAGCGUGCGCAGGCGGUUUGUUAAGACAGAUGUGAAAUCCCCGGGCUCAACCUGGGAACUGCAUUUGUGACUGGCAAGCUAGAGUAUGGCAGAGGGGGGUGGAAUUCCGCGUGUAGCAGUGAAAUGCGUAGAUAUGCGGAGGAACACCGAUGGCGAAGGCAGCCCCCUGGGCCAAUACUGACGCUCAUGCACGAAAGCGUGGGGAGCAAACAGGAUUAGAGACCCCCGUGUCCCUGUCUCUUAUACC
rnacentral:rRNA from 1 species